GACGAACGCUGGCGGCGUGCUUAACACAUGCAAGUCGAACGGAAAGGCCCUGCUUUUGUGGGGUGCUCGAGUGGCGAACGGGUGAGUAACACGUGAGUAACCUGCCCUUGACUUUGGGAUAACUUCAGGAAACUGGGGCUAAUACCGGAUAGGAGCUCCUGCUGCAUGGUGGGGGUUGGAAAGUUUCGGCGGUUGGGGAUGGAUUCGCGGCUCAUCAGCUUGUUGGUGGGGUAGUGGCUUACCAAGGCUUUGACGGGUAGCCGGCCUGAGAGGGGGACCGGCGACAUUGGUACUGCGAUACGGCCCAGACUCCUACGGGAGGCAGCAGUGGGGAAUAUUGCACAAUGGGCGGAAGCCUGAUGCAGCAACGCCGCGUGCGGGAUGACGGCCUUCGGGUUGUAAACCGCUUUCGCCUGUGACGAAGCGUGAGUGACGGUAAUGGGUAAAGAAGCACCGGCUAACUACGUG
rnacentral:rRNA from 1 species